AAAGAAAAGAUAGAAAAGACUAAGGCAUGAAGAUGACCAUCACAAAACUAGCCAUAUUAGGGUUUGUGUUGGUGGGCGUGUUGAUAAGUGAAGUAAGGGCCGACAAGUUUAGUGUUUGCUAUCACAAAUGUUUUAACAAAUGUGCUUACCCAAAAGCCAAUAAAAUGAACGUGACAUGCGGAAUCAAAUGUACUGCGCAAUGUGUCGUAUCGUUCCAUCCCAAACGCGGAGGCAACACCCUUUCACGUCCACAAUCCAAUUCCGAUUCUGAUUCUUAUGAAAUCGAUGAUGGCAAGAUGGAUCCUAGUGUUUAUUGUAAACUUGGUUGUACAGUCCAUUCUUGCGUUGAUUCUCUAGCCGAUGCAUUCAAAGUGGAGAGAUGCUACAAGAAUUGUGCCCGAAGGGUUUGUAAAACCUAGUGGAGACUUAAUUGCAAGACUGACAUCCUUUACUAUUCCUCCACGUUCCACAUUCAAAUCCACCACCACAUGAAGAUGAGAUGUAAUAGUUAAGUAAACAAUGAUUAGAAAAUUGUUAUGUGUGCGGUUUAUAACAAUCGUUAUACACAGAAUCACAAAUUAUUAAUUGGCUUUUUAACAUUUCUUUUGUAUUAAUCCUAUUUUUAAUUUUUUCAUUUAUUAUAACAUGUAUAUUUUUUUAUGUUCUAUG